rnacentral:rRNA from 1 species
GACGAACGCUGGCGGCGUGCCUAAUACAUGCAAGUAGAACGCUGAAGGAGGAGCUUGCUCUUCUGGAUGAGUUGCGAACGGGUGAGUAACGCGUAGGUAACCUGCCUGGUAGCGGGGGAUAACUAUUGGAAACGAUAGCUAGUACCGCAUAACAGUAGAUGUUGCAUGACAUUUGCUUAAAAGGUGCAAUUGCACCACUACCAGAUGGACCUGCGUUGUAUUAGCUAGUUGGUGGGGUAACGGCUCACCAAGGCGACGAUACAUAGCCGACCUGAGAGGGUGAUCGGCCACACUGGGACUGAGACACGGCCCAGACUCCUACGGGAGGCAGCAGUAGGGAAUCUUCGGCAAUGGACGGAAGUCUGACCGAGCAACGCCGCGUGAGUGAAGAAGGUUUUCGGAUCGUAAAGCUCUGUUGUAAGAGAAGAACGAGUGUGAGAGUGGAAAGUUCACACUGUGACGGUAUCUUACCAGAAAGGGACGGCUAACUACGUG